GAUGAAGAACGUAGCGAAAUGCGAUAAGUAAUGUGAAUUGCAGAAUUCAGUGAAUCAUCGAAUCUUUGAACGCGCAUUGCGCCCGCUAGUAUUCUGGCGGGCAUGCCUGUCCGAGCGUCAUUUCAACCCUCAAGCCCCCGGGCUUGGUGUUGGGGAUCGGCGAGCCUCCGCGCCCGCCGUCCCCUAAAUCUAGUGGCGGUCUCGCUGUAGCUUCCUCUGCGUAGUAGCACACCUCGCACUGGGAAACAGCGCGGCCACGCCGUUAAACCCCCAACUUCUGAACGUUUGACCUCGGAUCAGGUAGGAAUACCCGCUGAACUUAAGCAUAUCAAUAAGCGGAGGA
rnacentral:misc_RNA from 1 species